rnacentral:rRNA from 1 species
GAUGAACGCUGGCGGCGUGCCUAAUACAUGCAAGUUGAGCGAACGGACGAGAAGCUUGCUUCUCUGAUGUUAGCGGCGGACGGGUGAGUAACACGUGGAUAACCUACCUAUAAGACUGGGAUAACUUCGGGAAACCGUAGCUAAUACCGGAUAAUAUUUUGAACCGCAUGGUUCAAAAGUGAAAGACGGUCUUGCUGUCACUUAUAGAUGGAUCCGCGCUGCAUUAGCUAGUUGGUAAGGUAACGGCUUGCCAAGGCAACGAUGCAUAGCCGACCUGAGAGGGUGAUCGGCCACACUGGAACUGAGACACGGUCCAGACUCCUACGGGAGGCAGCAGUAGGGAAUCUUCCGCAAUGGGCGAAAGCCUGACGGAGCAACGCCGCGUGAGUGAUGAAGGUCUUCGGAUCGUAAAACUCUGUUAUUAGGGAAGAACAUAUGUGUAAGUAACUGUGCACAUCUUGACGGUACCUAAUCAGAAAGCCACGGCUAACUACGUG